AAUCGAAUGAGACCUUGGAGGACUGAAGUGGAGAAGGGUUUCGUGUGAACAGUGGUUGAUCACGAGUUAGUCGGUCCUAAGUUCAAGGCGAAAGCCGAAAUUUUUAAGUUAUUUUUAAUAUAUAAAUAAUAAUAUAAAUUAUAAUAUACUUAAAAUUUUUUGAACGAAAGGGAAUACGGUUCCAAUUCCGUAACCUGUUGAGUAUACGUUUGUUAUUAAAAAUGGGCCUUGUGCUCAUCCUGGUAACAGGAACAACCAUAAAGAAGCCGUCGAGAGAUAUCGAAAGAGUUUUCUUUUCUGUUUUAUAGUUGUACUACCAUGGAAGUCUUUCGAAGAGAGAUAUGGUAGAUGAACUAGAAGAGCAUGGCAUUUACUGUUGUGUCGAUAUUUUCUCCUCGGACCUUGAAAAUUUAUGGUGGGGUCACGCAAAUUUCUCAACAGGCCGUACCGAUAUCCGCAGCUGGUCUCCAAGGUGAAGAGUCUCUAGUCGAUAGAAUAAUGUAGGUAAGGGAAGUCGCCAAAUUAGAUCCGUAACUUCGGGAUAAGGAUUGGCUCUGAAGAUUGAGAUAGUCGGGCUUGAUUGGGAAACAAUAUCAUGGUUUAUAUGCUCGUUCUGGGUAAAUAGAAAUAUUAUAAUUCUUUUCGGAGAAUUUAAUAUUUUGUUCCUCGGAUAGUUUAAGUUAUAUAGCCAAUUGUGGAAAUUUCUUGCUAAUAAUGUAAUUAAUUAUUUUCAUAUUUUAUUUGUAAUUUUCGGAUUGUGAAUUAAUAUGAAAAAAAAUUUUAUAUUAACGACUAUCAAUUAACAAUCAAUUCAGAACUGGCACGGACUUGGGGAAUCCGACUGUCUAAUUAAAACAAAGCAUUGUGAUGGCCCUAACGGGUGUUGACACAAUGUGAUUUCUGCCCAGUGCUCUGAAUGUCAAAGUGAAGAAAUUCAAGUAAGCGCGGGUAAACGGCGGGAGUAACUAUGACUCUCUUAAGGUAGCCAAAUGCCUCGUCAUCUAAUUAGUGACGCGCAUGAAUGG
rnacentral:rRNA from 1 species